rnacentral:rRNA from 1 species
GACGAACGCUGGCGGCGUGCUUAACACAUGCAAGUCGAACGGGAAGGCCCUGCUUUUGUGGGGUGCUCGAGUGGCGAACGGGUGAGUAACACGUGAGUAACCUGCCCUUGACUUUGGGAUAACUUCAGAAAACUGGGGCUAAUACCGGAUAGGAGCUCCUGCUGCAUGGUGGGGGUUGGAAAGUUUCGGCGGUUGGGGAUGGACUCGCGGCUUAUCAGCUUGUUGGUGGGGUAGUGGCUUACCAAGCCUUUGACGGGUAGCCGGCCUGCGAGGGUGACCGGCCACAUUGGGCCUGAGAUACGGCCCAGACUCCUAUGGGAGGCAGCAGUGGGGAAUAUUGCACACUGGGCGGAAGCCUGAUGCAGCCACGCAGCGUGCGGGAUGACGGCCUUCGGGUUGUAAACCGCUUUCGCCUGUGACGAAGCGUGAGUGACGGUAAUGGGUAAAGAAGCACCGGCUAACUACGUG